GUCACGCGCGCACCGGUUUCUAAGCCUGGCGGCGCCGUGAAGAGCGUCGGCUUUCGAGUGGGCGGGGCAGAAGAGGCCGUUAUGAAAUGGGCGUGGCUAAAGAGGUGGCAGCUUUUGCAUGAAAAAGGAACACAAAGAGGCAUAGCUGAUUGAGAAUAUGAACCAAAAAAGAUAAGAGUUGACAUUUCAGACACAUGAAAAAGGUGCAAGUUUCUCUCUCCACCCUCCACCCUGAAACAUCUCUGCUGUCCAAAAGGUACAAGCCUACUUCUGGUCUCAGUGCUAAAAACCAUUACAUGUUUUCAUUCAAAAAUUAUAUGCAUAGUUUUAGAAAACAAUGUGACUUGCAAGAACCAGCAUUUCCACGGAUCUGGACACUUGGGAUGUUCUGGCGAUACUUACAUCUAUAAGGUGUUUGACCUCGU